UGAGUCAGCUGGACGGCCGCUCGGCUUUUGCUGGGAGGAAAGUCCGGGCUCCAUAGGGUAAAGCGCCAGGUAACGCCUGGGAGGCGAGAGCCUACGGAAAGUGCAACAGAGAGUAUACCGCCGAACUCGAGUUUAUCUUGGGUGGUAAGGGUGAAAUGGUGCGGUAAGAGCGCACCGCGCAGCUGGCAACAGUCUGUGGCGAUGGUAAACCCCGCUUGGAGCAAGGCCAAAUAGGAAUCCUUUGCUGCGACCCGCAGUGGAUUCGGGUAGGCUGCUUGAGGCUUGCGGUGACGCAGGUCCCAGAUGAAUGGUCGUCCACGACAGAACCCGGCUUAUAGGCUGACUCUUUUU
rnacentral:RNase_P_RNA from 1 species